CAGCCGCCGCGGUAAUACGUAGGGUGCAAGCGUUAAUCGGAAUUACUGGGCGUAAAGCGUGCGCAGGCGGUUUUGUAAGACAGAUGUGAAAUCCCAGGGCUCAACCUGGGAACUGCAUUUGUGACUGUAUAGCUAGAGUACGGCAGAGGGGGAUGGAAUUCCGCGUGUAGCAGUGAAAUGCGUAGAUAUGCGGAGGAACACCGAUGGCGAAGGCAAUCCCCUGGGCCUGUACUGACGCUCAUGCACGAAAGCGUGGGGAGCAAACAGGAUUAGAUACCCCCGUAGUCCCUGUCUCUUAUAC
rnacentral:rRNA from 1 species